rnacentral:lncRNA from 1 species
UCCCUUAUACAAGAACUUAAAAGUAUUAAACAAACAUUACGGAAUGAGUUCUCUAAAAGAAACAUGAGAAAUAAGAAAAAUAAUGGAAAAUAGAAAGUAUCUAGCAUCUACUCGGAAUCUUCUUGCAUAUCAGGCUUUGAAACUAGGUUCUCUUGAUCUGAAAUGAUUAAAUAAAGGUUGAGUUACAAGGAUAUCAUACUAUAUCACUGGCACAGAAGCAAAGAUUGGUAUAAAAUCAAAACAACUAAUAGAGUACUAAAUUUAGCAAAUUCGUUUAUCAAUCAUAAAAUCAUUUACAAUACAAUUACCAUUGUGGAAUUUAUGAAAACAACCUAUAGAGAUAAUAAUAUCAUACAGAUCAUAACUUCAUGCACAAUUAGGAACGUAGAACAUAUCGUAAAUUCAUAUUCAUUAACAAUAAUCAAAUCAU